rfam:Hordeum vulgare subsp. vulgare, WGS project CAJW01000000 data, contig: morex_contig_1650955
GGCCCAUUAUCUCAGUUGGUUAGAGCGUGGUGCUAAUAACGCCAAGGUCGCAGGUUCGAGACCUGCAUGGGCCA